rnacentral:rRNA from 1 species
UACGGAGGAUCCGAGCGUUAUCCGGAUUUACUGGGUGUAAAGGGAGCGUAGACGGCUUUGCAAGCCAGAUGUGAAAGCCCGGGGCUCAACCUCGGGACUGCAUUUGGAACUGUAUGGCUGGAGUGUCGGAGAGGCAGGCGGAAUUCCUAGUGUAGCGGUGAAAUGCGUAGAUAUUAGGAGGAACACCAGUGGCGAAGGCGGCUUACUGGACUGUAACUGACGUUGAGGCUCGAAGGCGUGGGGAUCAAACAGG